AGACGUAGGGGGCGAGCGUUGUCCGGAAUCACUGGGCGUAAAGGGCGUGUAGGCGGCUUUGCAAGUCAGUGGUGAAACACCUGGGCUCAACCGAGGUAUUGCCGUUGAAACUGCAUCGCUUGAGGGUAGAAGAGGAGUGUGGAAUUCCCGGUGUAGCGGUGAAAUGCGUAGAGAUCGGGAGGAACACCAGUGGCGAAGGCGGCACUCUGGUCUACCCCUGACGCUGAGGCGCGAAAGCUAGGGGAGCAAACAGGAUUAGAUACCCUGGUAGUCCUAGCCGUAAACGAUGGGCACUAGGUGUAGGAGGUUUAGAUACCUUCUGUGCCGUAGCUAACGCAUUAAGUGCCCCGCCUGGGAAGUACGGUCGCAAGGCUGAA
rnacentral:rRNA from 1 species